GGCUGGUCUGAAGGUAGUGAGUUAUCUCACUUGAUUGUUCACAGUCAGUUACAGAUCGAACUCCUUGUUCUACUCUUUCCUCCCUUCUCACCACUGCCCUUGACUGGUCCUAA
rnacentral:Y_RNA from 1 species